UUGAGCUAUGGGGAGGCACUGCCAGUGGCCUUGGAACAGAAUCCAGAUUUUCGUGCAUAAUAUUACAGACAUGCGUAUGAGUAAUAGUAUGAGGGGUGAGCCAUAAAAUUGGCCUUCGAGCUGCGACCUUCAAUGAUCUAUUGUGCUUCCCCUAUGGAUUAAUAUUACAGACGUACGUACGUUUCAGUGGGUGCAAGUUUAUGAUGGCACGUCAGUAUGUUGGUAACUGAUACAUUACGCUUUUACAUGAUGAAAGCCACAUAAGGUAAACUAUAAGCUAUACUGUUGAAAACACAGAAAGACUGCACGUGUUCAUCUCUUGACAGCCGCAAAAACUGUGACGGUGGUGUAAGUUGCCCAUCACAGUGGAGGUGUAAACUCGGCCAACCUAACCUAUUAGGAGUCGAUGUAAAUGAGAAGCUCAGACAAGUGACCGGGAGGAAAAAGAAGUGAUGUGCGGGAGCAAGUGGGUGCAGGAAGGAGGAGUGGAUUUGAUUCUACAUACGUGGUAUGCGCCUGUUGUUCAAGAGAAUCCAUGUCCUCCCAGAUAACAUUAUGGGUCUGAAUAUCAGUUCCAUUUCGGUGCUGGCACCAUGAUCUGCAGGAAACCAGGGCAGUGUGUGGAAGAGUGGUAAUUUAACUCCAAGAUUAUGUGCAGUUCCCUAGACCUCCAGUGUUACCAGAUGUAAACCAGGCCAGUCUUCAGGAAUACUAAGCACUGUGAAGUAUAGAAUUUUGUUGAUGAGAGUUACAAGUGGUGUGUAGAGUUUGACUGGAUUUCUUUAGACUUGAUUGAGUUUGAUGCUGGUUAUAUACAGUAGAUUAUUCUAGUGAGAGGAACAAAGUAAGUAUUCAGUGGCAGGUUGAGGUGUAAGGUUAACUGGAGUAUGUUGGACACAUUACACUCGUCUUGAUUAAUGUUUAUGAAGCAUGUCAUUGAGCAUCUUAUCAUCCCACAACUGUGCAGAAGUAAUGAUGAAAUUUAGUUUAAUGGAAUACAUUUAGACAUCAGAUAUUAAUAUUGUCCCUUGGUUUUACUGGAAAUGCACUGAUAACAUUGCCUAGUAUUUCCAUUCUGCUCUGCUAGCGUGAAGAUUAUAUCGCUCUUAAUGAUUAUGUGUGCUUAUACAUAACAUAUGUGAAUGCAGUUGUCCUCAGUUUUUGUUUAUAUUAGAGACAUGAUUAUUGCUUCGCUAAAACUUAGUGAAGACAUUAAUUGACUGAUUGAAUGUUAAGAAGCAGUGCUGUGGCAGCAGAAUGUGAAGGUUGGAAGUCACGGUCACGGAGAUGUUCAUUGGAUGUAAUGUAUAGCCAGUUGAGUUGACCUGUGAUCCAGAUAUCUGCUUAUUGAUACCUCCUGUUUUAAUGUUAUUCUACCAAGAGGUGUUCCAUCUUGCAAGGAUCCACUUUCCAGGAGGUUUCCCCACAGAAAAUUUGAGGGAGUUCCUAGUGCUGCCAAGAAGAACAUUGAAUAAGAAGAUCAAGGUGUUGCUGGAGAUGAGUAUGGAGCCAAAGAUUAUCGGUUGCAAAUUGUUCUGAAGACCGACCAUGAGUCACGGCUAUUGUGGGUGGCUCCUAAUGGACAUAUUUUCUUGGAGUCAUUUUCUCCAGUGUAUAAACAUGCACAUGACUUUCUGAUAGCAAUAUCGGAACCUUUGUGUCGCCCAGAACACAUUCAUGAGGUAAGAACUUCAUUAAUUUCAUUACUGCAUCGUUUUCGCUGUCUCUUUGAGUGGUGGACACAGUUGAUCCAUUAUAAUUACAGUAGAUUCAUGAUUGUUCAGUAGCAGAUUAUCUGGGGCUUUUUGUAGAAAAUUGACUGAUGUGUCCAAUAUCAAAAGUAAACUUGAUUUUUACACAGAGAAAUGGCACAGGAGCUUCACAGAAACACACUUCUAUCAAUGGUACUGACUACUUACUUAGGCCAUGACAUAGGUCAAGCAGUUAGUCGCUGGCUUCCCACUGCUGUGGCCCAGGUUUGAUCCCGGGUCUGGUCAAGCGAGGU